rnacentral:rRNA from 1 species
CCUACGGGAGGCAGCAGUGAGGAAUAUUGGUCAAUGGGCGGGAGCCUGAACCAGCCAAGCCGCGGGAGGGAAGAAGGUACAGCGUAUCGUAAACCUCUUUUGUCAGGGAACAAAGGCGGGGACUAGUCCCCGGCUGAGGGUACCUGACGAAAAAGCAUCGGCUAACUCCGUGCCAGCAGCCGCGGUAAUACGGAGGGGGCAAGCGUUAUCCGGAUGUAUUGGGUUUAAAGGGUGGGGAGGCGGCCGUGGAAGUCAGCGGUGAAAGCCCGGGGCCCAACCCCGGGACUGCUGUUGAAACUGGGAGGCUGGAGUGGAGGAGAGGCAGGCGGAAUGCGCGGUGUAGCGGUGAAAUGCGUAGAUAUCGGGCAGAACCCCGAUGGCGAAGGCGGCGUGCCGGACCGAGACUGACGUUGAGGCACGAAAGCGUGGGUAGCGAACAGGAUUAGAUACCCCAGUAGUC